UGGGGAAUAUUGCACAAUGGGCGCAAGCCUGAUGCAGCCAUGCCGCGUGUGUGAAGAAGGCCUUCGGGUUGUAAAGCACUUUCAGCGGGGAGGAAGGCGAUAAGGUUAAUAACCUUGUCGAUUGACGUUACCCGCAGAAGAAGCACCGGCUAACUCCGUGCCAGCAGCCGCGGUAAUACGGAGGGUGCAAGCGUUAAUCGGAAUUACUGGGCGUAAAGCGCACGCAGGCGGUCUGUCAAGUCGGAUGUGAAAUCCCCGGGCUCAACCUGGGAACUGCAUUCGAAACUGGCAGGCUAGAGUCUUGUAGAGGGGGGUAGAAUUCCAGGUGUAGCGGUGAAAUGCGUAGAGUUCUGGAGAAAUACCGGUGGCGAAGGCGGCCCCCUGGACAAAGACAGACGCUCAGGUGCGAAAGCGUGGGGAGCAAACAGG
rnacentral:rRNA from 1 species